UUUGAGACAAAGAAUCUAGUGAUUGUUUUGCAUUAGAAAAUUAAUGGACAUUUCACCAAAAACAAAUUGUGUAUUUCAGAUUGCUCUCACAGCAGCCAGGAGGUAUACAAGGGAGAUAUUUUGAAGGAACGAGUUAAAGAGGUUGGUCAGCCAUUACCUGAUAUGGAUAAAAACUAGGCAGUAGAACAUUAAAGAAUGGAUGUUAUUGCAGGGUUAGAACUGAACUUAUUAACACGUAAGACUAAUCUACAUUGAACAUAACGAUGUGACAUGAUAUGACAUAUGAUUUUCUACUAUUAUUUCACAUAUGUUUUACAUUUGUGGUUCAAGAUUUUAUUUGUCACAUACACAGUUAUAUAGAGAAUAUAUAACCAGCAGUGAAAUGUAAAACAGGUCUGCUCCAUGGACAGUGCCAUUAUUAUCAUAAUACAAACACAAGAAGAAAUUCCGAAUAUAUAUAUAUAUAGACUAAUUGUGUACAGAAGUAUUAGACUAAUGCAUUUUAGGUGAACAGAAAUGUACAGAGAUACUUACAGAAAUAUUUGGGUGAACAGAAAUUUACAAGACAUGUGCAAUGUAAAACAGGUUAUUGUAUAUACUGUAUGUAGACAGAUAUCAUAUACUGUAUGUAGACAAAUUAACUCAAAAUACAGUCCAAAAUAAAGAGUAUUUUAUUUAUGAAAGUGUAUUGAUAGUUAUUGCACGUGUAAGCCUACUUAACUACUGUACAUUAAGUGUAGACCUACAGAUUACGUUACUUACAGUUAUUAGGUUUUUUAACACUUUUGCUUCAUCAUUAGGGGGUUUUGUGUGUAGAUUGAGGGGGGAAAUUAUUUUAAACUAUUUUAACAUAAGGCUGCAGCAGAACAAAAAUUGUGAAAAUAGUGUAAGGGGUCUGAAUUCCUGAAUGCUUGGUUGUGUAGCUGGCAGUAUUGACAACAAUCAAACUAACUUAAUAUUCUGCUUUUUCAAUAGGGAAGGAAGGAAUACCUUCUGAAAUGGCACCCUUGCAGUUUAUGUGGAAAAAAAUGGAGAAGCACCUGGGUGGAGGAGGAUUCCUUCCUUAUGUAGUGUGUGUGUGUGUGUGUGUGUGUGUGUUUAAUAAACAGUUGUUACAAUGCCAAAUGUCUUCGUUGGACUUACUCUUUUAUGCACUUUCACAUACAACACAUUCUGUCAACAUCUGUGACGGAGGAGUCAUCACACAUUAAAGCUGAUUAAAACUGUUUUUGGGUACCAGUACUGUUGUCAAAUAUAAGUCCUUAUUGCAACAGGUUGCCCUCUUUUGUAUAUCCUGUUUAUUUUCAGUCAUCUUCAUCAUAGGAAUAUAAUCCCCCAGGCUCUGAAGCUGCACCAGCAAAUGCAGUAAACAGCUGCCUGGAGCAAUGUCUUGGAUGAACCUGGACUUGCAGUGAAAGCAUGCAGAAACCAUAAAAACAUCCAUGCUUCUCUUUAUGAUUCUUACAUGUGUGUUGUACUGAUUAAUUUAAUUUGACUAUCACCUGCUGUGUCAACUUGCAGGUGGCUGACAUCAUUUAAAACUAUCAUGCAGGUACAGUGGUUGUUAAGCUAAGAAAAAAUAAACAUUGUGUGACCUCAAUAAAAG
ensembl:lncRNA